rnacentral:rRNA from 1 species
UACGUAGGUGGCAAGCGUUAUCCGGAUUUAUUGGGCGUAAAGGGAACGCAGGCGGUCUUUUAAGUCUGAUGUGAAAGCCUUCGGCUUAACCGGAGUAGUGCAUUGGAAACUGGGAGACUUGUGUGCAGAAGAGGAGAGUGGAACUCCAUGUGUAGCGGUGAAAUGCGUAGAUAUAUGGAAGAACACCAGUGGCGAAAGCGGCUCUCUGGUCUGUAACUGACGCUGAGGUACGAAAGCGUGGGUAGCAAACAGG